rnacentral:rRNA from 1 species
UGGGGAAUAUUGGACAAUGGGCGAAAGCCUGAUCCAGCCAUGCCGCGUGUGUGAAGAAGGUCUUCGGAUUGUAAAGCACUUUAAGUUGGGAGGAAGGGCAGUUACCUAAUACGUAUCUGUUUUGACGUUACCGACAGAAUAAGCACCGGCUAACUCUGUGCCAGCAGCCGCGGUAAUACAGAGGGUGCAAGCGUUAAUCGGAAUUACUGGGCGUAAAGCGCGCGUAGGUGGUUUGUUAAGUUGGAUGUGAAAUCCCCGGGCUCAACCUGGGAACUGCAUUCAAAACUGACAAGCUAGAGUAUGGUAGAGGGUGGUGGAAUUUCCUGUGUAGCGGUGAAAUGCGUAGAUAUGCGGAGGAACACCGAUGGCGAAGGCGACCACCUGGACUGAUACUGACACUGAGGUGCGAAAGCGUGGGGAGCAAACAGGAUUAGAUACCCCAGUAGUCCCUGAGCGGGCUGGCAAGGCGCAU